AGGGGGUUAGCUUAAUGGUUAAAGCACAAGAACGUUUAAUUCUUGGGAGUGGGAGUUCGACUCUCCCACCCUCUG
rnacentral:tRNA from 1 species